rnacentral:rRNA from 1 species
GACGAACGCUGGCGGCGUGCUUAACACAUGCAAGUCGAACGGAAAGGCCCUGCUUUUGUGGGUUGCUCGAGUGGCGAACGGGUGAGUAACACGUGAGUAACCUGCCCUUGUCUUUGGGAUAACUUCUGGAAACUGCGGCUAAUACCGCAUAUGAGCUCCUGCUGCAUGGUGGGCGAUGGAAAGUUUCGGCGGUUGGGGAUGGACUCGCUGCUUAUCAGCUUGUUGGUGGGGUAGUGGUUUACCAAGGCUGUGACGGGUAGCCGGCCUGAGAGGGUUGCCGGGCACAUUGGGACUGAGAUACGGCCCAGACUCGUACGGGCGGCAGAAGUGGGGAGUAUUGCACAAUGGGCGGAAGCCUGAGGCAGCGACGCCGCGUGCGGGAUGACGGCCUUCGGGUUGUAAACCGCUUUCGCCUGUGACGAAGCGUGAGUGACGGUAAUGGGUAAAGAAGCACCGGCUAACUACGUG